rnacentral:rRNA from 1 species
GUGGAUUAGAUACCCGGGUAGUCCACGCCGUAAACGAUGGAUACUAGGUGUGGGAGGUUUAACUCCUUCCGUGCCGCCGUUAACACAUUAAGUAUCCCGCCUGGGGAGUACGGUCGCAAGAUUAAAACUCAAAGGAAUUGACGGGGGCCCGCACAAGUAGCGGAGCAUGUGGUUUAAUUCGAAGCAACGCGAAGAACCUUACCUAGACUUGACAUGUCCUGAAUUACCAGUAAUGUGGGAAGUCCCUUCGGGGACAGGAACACAGGUGGUGCACGGCCGUCGUCAACU